GACGGAGGGGGCAAGCGUUGUCCGGACUCACUGGGCGUAAAGGGUGCGCAGGCGGUUCUGUGCGUCGGCGCUGAAAGUGCCCGGCUCAACCGGGUGAGGCGCGCCGAUACGAUGGAACUUGAGGCUCGGAGAGGGUGGUGGAACUCCUGGUGUAGCGGUGAAAUGCGCAGAUAUCAGGAGGAACACCGAUGGCGAAGGCAGCCUCCUGGGCCAGCACUGACGCUCAUGCACGAAAGCGUGGGGAGCAAACAGG
rnacentral:rRNA from 1 species